GGGCCUGUAGCUCAGUGGUAGAGCAAGGGGCUCAUAACCCCAAGGUCGCAGGUUCGAUCCCUGCCGGGCCCA
rnacentral:tRNA from 2 species